rnacentral:sRNA from 1 species
UCCACCGCCUCGGCCUCGGCCAAGAAGAUAAUCGUCAAGCACGUGACGGUCAUCGGCGGCGGGCUGAUGGGCGCCGGCAUUGCCCAGGUUGCUGCAGCAACUGGUCACACAGUAGUGUUGGUAGACCAGACAGAGGACAUCCUGGCAAAAUCCAAAAAGGGAAUUGAGGAAAGCCUUAGGAAAGUGGCAAAGAAGAAGUUUGCAGAAAACCCUAAGGCUGGCGAUGAAUUUGUGGAGAAGACCCUGAGCAGCAUAACGACCAGCACGGAUGCAGCCUCCGUUGUCCACAGCGCAGACUUGGUGGUGGAAGCCAUCGUGGAGAAUCUGAAGGUGAAAAACGAGCUCUUCAAAAGGCUGGACAAGUUUGCUGCUGAACAUACAAUCUUUGCCAGCAACACUUCCUCCUUGCAGAUUACAAGCAUAGCCAAUGCCACCACCAGACAAGACCGAUUCGCUGGCCUCCAUUUCUUCAACCCAGUGCCCGUCAUGAAACUUGUGGAGGUCAUUAAAACACCAAUGACCAGCCAGAAGACAUUUGAAUCUUUGGUAGACUUUAGCAAAGCCCUAGGAAAGCAUCCUGUUUCUUGCAAGGACACUCCUGGGUUUAUUGUGAACCGCCUCCUGGUUCCAUACCUCAUGGAAGCAAUCAGGCUGUAUGAACGAGGUAUCCUUCUGACCCAGGCCAGGAGCAGCAGGCCUCAGCUCCUGGCGCCACUGUCUGGAAUUCUCAGUGUCUCUAGGAGGGGUCGGGCCGUGCACAACGGAGGAAGCAGUGUCUGUUUUCUAGCUCUGUGAGCUCAGCUGCACCCUGGGCCCUGGUACCUUUUUCACUGUUUUCCCGGGGCCUCCUGGCUUCCCUGUGAGGCCUCUGAGAAAGGUUUCUGGAACUCCUACCACCCCCACUACAGUCCCAGCCAGAGCAAUUGCAUGGCCGUCCCAGAUUGAUAUCCUGGAUCUCUGCUUUUGAUUAAAAGGUGAUGCAUCCAAAGAGGACAUUGACACUGCUAUGAAAUUAGGAGCCGGUUACCCCAUGGGCCCAUUUGAGCUUCUAGAUUAUGUCGGACUGGAUACUACGAAGUUCAUCGUGGAUGGGUGGCAUGAAAUGGAUGCAGAGAACCCAUUACAUCAGCCCAGCCCAUGCUUGAAUAAGCUGGUAGCAGAGAACAAGUUCGGCAAGAAGACUGGAGAAGGAUUUUACAAAUACAAGUGAUGUGCAGCUUCUCCGGCUCUGAGAAGAACCCCUGAGAGCGCUUUCCAGCCAGUGCCCCGAGUGCCUGUGGGAAUGCUCUUUGGUCAGACAUUCCCUCACACAGCACAGUCUAAUAAAUGUGCAUUUUGAUUGUAAUCUAUUAAAGUGAUUAUUACACCAGUUACAGCAGUAAUAGAUUCUCCAUUAAGAACUAAUUCCCUUUUUUAGUCUGUUCAUUUCUGUGUAUUUUCUAAACAGCUUUACACCCUUGGUGCCUUGGAGCAAACAUGUUUUUUGAACCUUGUCAUUUUUAUGAAGAAUUGCCUGGAUUCGUUCUCUCAUCAAGGGGAAAGUACUUCCUCCGAGAGUGCGAGCGCACCAUGCUCACUGUUGCUGCGUGGGAGAGUCACAAGCCACUGGCAAGCACGUGGUAUAGUCUGUGAAGCACUGCAGCGAGCAGCACCUGGAUCUUGCCUUUGUAAGAACAUUUUACUAUCUGCAGCUUUGAGUCUUGCCCUACAUUUUGGGCAUGACAUAAGAUGUGUCUUUAUUCAGCUCGUCAUGAAGAUGCUGCUGCUGAAUGGGUCGGCAUAUCUGUAUGUGCAUGGUUUGCAGGAGGUCAGUUUUCAUGGUCAUCCAGUUCCACAGAUCUGAAUGAUUACUGUCUGUCUGUGUCUUUUUUCCAUGAGAAAUCACUUGCAAAUUGCCUAUAAAUUGACUCUACUAAAAUAACAAUGUUUCAGUCUGAAAAUUUGAAUUGAAAAAAAUGUAUAAUAUAAAAU